UCUUCUGACUUGCAGGCAGAUUCUCCUGCCUUCAAGGCAGGAGACCCCCAGAAUCUGCUUGCAAGAUCCCUUUAUUGCUGAGCCACCAGGGCUAAACGGGAUGCAGUAUCUGCUGGACUAGGCUGCCAGAGUCCUGCAGGAAGCCAGAGGGAAGGGGGGCACUUUAGAAUCAUUCAUAGAGGCUUAAGGUGGUUUUGAAUUGGGUGUCUAUCACUGGCAUUUAAGAAUCUAAUAUUAAUAUGAAUAGAUAUAGGUAUGAAUAGGUAGUUUUAUGGUUAACAGCCAGAGUGAUUAAGUCUUCUGAAAUAUUGCUUGAGAAUCUGAACCAACUUCCAGAAUGCAGAGGCCUGUUUUAAGACCUUGGAAGCUUAAACUGAUCUGUGUUGUACUUUCUGGAAAGUAAUCUACCCUUAAGAAUUUGGUAGUACAGUUGACCUUUGAACAACUAGGGUUUGACCUGCACUGGUCCACUUAUAUUCUCAUUUUUAAAAAAAUAUUUAAACACUACCAGUACUGCAUGAUUGGUGGUUGCAUGAAUCCUCAGAUGCAAAAGUGUAGAUAGAGGGGAACCUUGGAUUCAGAGAGCCAUUAAGUUAGGCUCAGAUUUUUCAACUUCUCAAAGGGUAGGUGCCCUUAACUUGUGUUGUUCCAGGGUCAACUGUAGUUGUUAACCCCCUGAGGGAGGUAAAGGGUUAUUUUGUGCCUUCAUUCCUCACACAUUACUGGUGGGAAGGUGCAAUGGUGCAGCUGCUUGAGUGUGCGCCAGUAUCACCUGGAGGGCUCGUUAAAGCAGAUUGCUGGGCCCCACCUCAGAGUAUUUGCAUUUCUCAUAAGCUCCUAGGUGAUACUGAUGCUGCUAAUCUGGAGACCACCUUUGGAGAACUAGUCUUUAUGAGAAGGAAAAAAAAAAUUAUUGAGCACUUAGAAUGUGCUAAGCCUACUUCAUUUUCCUCCCUUAAUAUCAAAGAUGGAAUUCACAUUCCCAUAAACCUCACUGCUGUGAAAUUCACAAGACAGGGAUUAGUAUAUUCCCAAAGUUGUGUGACUGUAAACACUGUCUGUGAAGGAGGGAAUCUGACGCCAGGAGGAAGGCAAAGCCCUGAUGGGAACAGGCAGAGAGCACAGCACGCUAGGCUGGGAGGUAGCAGCAGAAUUCCGGGAUAUUUUCAUCAUUUCAAAAAGAAACCUCUUAGCUCUUGGCAAUCAUUCCUUAUACCCCAACCCCUUCCACCCCCCACCCCCAGAAAUCAGUCUAUCUGUAUCCUUAUAAUUUUGCUUAUUCUGGACUUUUCAUAUUUUGGAGAGGGUGACUGACAACACAGCCUGUGACCGUCACAGCCUCAUACCUUAUGUUCUGUAAACAACGAUGAUGCUGACCUUGGUAGCACUGGGCCUGCACGCCUCCUUGGCCGUAGGCCGCUUUUGUCUGUCGUAGUUUAUCAGUAGUCUUUGAAGACUCCCGGCUGCCGAUGCCCGGAGAGAAUAAACACGCCUGCAGUCCCCGCGGCUCCUCGAGUCUUCUUCCAGCUUCCCCUGUCGCGCCUGAUCUACCCUGGGUUCAGUGACCAGUAUGAGCGGGAAGACACAUAUAAAGGAAGUCAUACGGUUCAUACAGCCUUUUGUGUUUUGCCUCUUUCACUUACUGUAAUGGAGUCAAUGUUCAUCUGUGUUUUAGCAUUCUUUAUUAUGGCUGAAUAAUAUUCCAUUGCUUAUAUAUACCACAUUUUAUUUAGCCAUGUACCCGUUGAUGGACAUGUGGGUUAUUUCCCCUUUUUGGCUGUUAUGGAUAACACGGUUAUGAACAUCUGUGUGCAAGUUUCUGGGUGAACAUGUUUUCAGUUCUCUUGGGUAGACCCAGAAGAGUAGAAUUGUUGGACCAUAUGAUAAAGCUAUGUGUUUGAGGAACUGUAAACUGUUCUCUAAAGCAGUUGCACCAUUUCACAUUCCCACCAGUAAUGUGUGAGGGUUGUAGUUUCUCCAUAUCUAGUCAACACUUGUUACUAUGUUUUUUAUUAUAGCCACCAAGUAGAUAUAAAGUAGUAUCUCAUGUGGUUUGGACUUGCAUUUCCCUAGUGGUUUAUGAUAUUAAGCAUAGGGAAAGAGCAAAUUAGCCAAGAUGGCUGUGGUCAGGUUCUCUCAGCCUGGCUCUCUCACUCUUGCCCCACAUUUUGUAAUAAUAAUUAUUGUGUAACAGCUGAGUCAUUUAAGGCACUGUGCAGGCGUGUCACAAGGUACUCGCUUGGCCAUAGGCUACUUUUGUUCUGUAAGCACGUAUAAGCUCCAGCUGGAAAGCCCUUGUGGUGGUGUGCGGUCAUGUCAUGCCCUGUCUGCUGCUACGGCUGCUGCGCCAGCCAGGAGAGAAGAAACGCAUCUGCCGUUCCUACAGCUCCCCGCACUUUCUUUCAGCCUCUUAGUUCGUGCCUUGCCUACCAUGGGUUCAGCAACAGUGCGCACAGUGAGAUAUGAUGCUGAUAGCUCUAAGUUGCUAAGAGCUGGAGAGAGUGAUUAUCACCUGAGGGGUAAGGAGCUGAUGAAAGCUAGUCAGACUUCCCAGAUGACCAGCACGCCUCUUGCCUGCACACAGUCCUGCCCAAGUGGACUAUAGCGGACUGGUGAGAAGUGAGCCAUUUCGGGCCAGCAUUAAAUGAGUGGGUGACCCUAGAAGCUGUGUCCCAGCGGAUCAAGACCCCACUGCAGCUGCUAAAAGGGUGCUAAUGACAUCCUCCAUCUCUUGGCCCUUCCACAGAAGAAGAAGGGGUGCGGUUUGUAAAGGUGCUUACAGCUGAGCUGGACGCCACCGUCGGCCUGAGUAGGCAUGCCCUGGCUGCUGCCGCUGAGCCUGCCGUUUCUGAGAAAGUUACUCCUUUCAGGCUGCUGAGCCGGGUCUGUGUCACCUCAGACCUCUGUUUUUUUGUGGACAUGCAUGUGCGUGAUCCAGUGGGAGGAACUAGGAGACCUGGGACAGAGGCCUGAGUGAUUCCAGCAGCACGGAAUCCUUCUGAAACAUUGAUACUCAAGUCUGCGUGAAGUUCAGAGUCUCUUUGUUUUCUGUUUGUCACAAAGUAUCUUUCUCUCCAGCAAGUCCAAGUGAAGAAAAAAAUGGCUUGGGCUAUUGUGAACUGCAAGAGGCAAAACCCCAGUUAAGUUCCAAGUUAUGAACCGGGAGCCUCCCAGGGCCUUGUGGGACCAUGAGAGUCAAGUCUUGGGCAAAUAUGUUGUUCUUUUAGCACUCGAGACCAACAGCAUCGCCUCUCCUCUGUGAUCACUGAAGGCUAGCGGGAUGCAGCUCUGGAGAAUUCAGGGACUGCUUUUACCCCAUGUCCACUGGAGACCCACUGGACUCUUCUCCAAGGUUCAGCCUUUGGGGAUCUUUCAGGGCACCCCUAAGAAAGAGGGCAAACUUCCUGACUUGACUCCCAGAGGAGUGAUAGGGGCUGGCCAGCUGGGGACAUGGCCUCUUGUGGGAGGAACCCUCCUCCUCUGGUUGUGGGAACCAGCAAGCUUUGUUUUUCCUGCUGCUAUGUAGGACAGUAAAAAAAAAAAAAAAAAAAAAGCACAAUUUCAUGAAGGAAACACAGGCACCUUACCUCUGUAGCCUUUUUCCCUGAAUUUUCUCUGUAACAAAACUUAAAAUCUUUAAGGCGUGCUCCAGUCCUGCUGAAAGAAUCUUAACCACAUCCAUGGAUGUUCCAUGAACAUGACAUUCAUUUCAUCCUUUUCCAAAUGGACUUUGGAGUGCUUUACCAACAAGGCCAAAAGAAAAGGCAAACGUCAACGCAUCUCACUUUUAACAACUGUCUUUAACGGGGAAGACGCUUAUUUCAAGCUGUGGAUGUCAUAGCAGUUGCCCCAUAUAUGGAGUUGGGAGUGAAUUCUGAGUUUAAUAACCCCAAACCCCAUCUCUGGGCAUUAGUGAGGCUUCUCCUGGCGCAGCAGUGAAGUGACUGCCACUUUUCUCUUCUUACCGCUUUUCUUGAAUAGGGAAGUUCUGCUCAGUGGUUUUUUCUAAGUCAGUUGCUGUCUGUAGCCCCUUCUGUCCUCAAAUGUCAUUGUCCUGGUUCUCAAAUCAGUGGGCAAUUUUCGCCCUAUUCUGGCUUCCAUCAUUGUCUGAGCUUAGCUUAGGACCCCCAGGCCUGUCUGUACCCACUUUAGGAGACUCUAACCCCAGUGAGUGUGUGUGGGAAGGAGGGGAGGGAGAGAUUUGGGGCACGCGAGGACUGGCUGACAUGGUGCCUACUUUGGCAGCUCUAGGUAAUGUGUCCACUUAACACAGCUUCCCAGUAUUCUGAUGCCCAGUGGAGCCACACCCUGACCACCCUUGCCUCCCCACACCUCUGCCUGAGGUCCAGGGCUGUAUCUCUGUGCCUCCCCUAGAGGUCCUGCCAGCCCUCAGAUCUAAGCUGUCCCCAUGUCUCUCUCCCCCUGUGUCCCACCAACCCCCUGGGUCACUGAGACCAGCGCUAGGCUUCCGAUUCAAUCUGAGGACUCCCUCCUCCCCCAUUCUCAGCCAGAUGCCAGCACCCAGGCACCGCAGGCCUACCCGGCUCACCCCGCCCCCUCCCAGCUCCUCCUCUUUGCAAAGCUGAGAUGUGGGCCCUCCCCACAGCAAAGCUCUCCCUUCCCAGGAGGUGAACCCAAGGCCUUGCUGGUCUCAGCCCCUUGGCCUGCAUGGCAUCCUCAGCGACCACAGGUCCUGCUGGUGGGGGUCCUGAGCUGCACCACACCCUUCCAUCUACGCCCUGAAACCUCUUCAUCAUUCACCACCAUUGCAUUUGGGCUCACAUCUCAGCUGGCUGAUAAUGUGCCAGUUUUAGUAACAGCCUAAUGAUCACUGGAUUCACUGUAACUCCCUAUGUAUGUGUUUGGCACCUAGUGAGAACUUCCUACCUUUUCCCUCAAUGCUGCUUCCUGGAAAUGGUGCUUUUGUUUCAUGAAGUUUAUGAGCACCAACCAUUGUCACAGGUGACCAGAUAUUAACACCAUCUCCUUGUUUUCCUGCAGAAUCACCACUCAGAUGAUAAAGGCAAACACCAAGCAAGAUAACAUUUUGAUUUUUCUCCAUUAAAACCAGUUUCAUAUAACACAUAAGUCAAGAAAAGAACUGGAUGUGAGGGGUAUUAAAAUAUGAGAAGAGCUUACAAAGCCCACAGUAAAUAUAAAGUUAGUCAAAUUUAGUUAUUCUAUUUUGCUUAAACUUUUUGCAGCCCCACCUUUCAGAAGUUGGGCUGUCAGCUUCAGAUUGGUGCAUCAGUCUACAUCAGGGUGUUCAGGGACGUGUGUCGUGACACUCCUCUGGGCCAGGCCUUUCUUCAAAAGUGGGACUCACCAGACUUUGUCAAGACAAGCUCCCGGUGGUAAAGCCUGUCUCCCCCUGAGAGGGCAGAGGCGGGCAGCCCUGGAUAGACACGCUGCCCACGCACACCACCAAGCCUAGCCCUUGUACUGUGGACAGCUUGGCUGUUAUUGGACCAAGCGCCUCUGCUCUCUCCCUCUUUCCUGAAAAGAAAGCAGGGCUUUGGGCAGUUCUUCCCUUAGGAAGUUAAAAACCACCAAAUGGUCAAGUUUGCAUUGUACCUGUCACAACCCAGCUCCUCACAGAUCAGCUAACGGAUGUGGCUGCUGCGGGCCCGGCUCCACACUUGGCCUGUGGUGCCUGCGGGCUUCUCACCCAGCGUGGCCCGGAGACAGGGUGGAGGCCACGCCCGCCUUUACAGAGGGAGCACUGGGAGCCAGGCUCAGCUCAGAGCAGUCUCCUGAAGGGUCAGAGGGUUUGUGGUGUAAGAAGCUCACUCCUCUACCCCUCCCACUCUUCGAAUAGUACUCUCUGCCCCCUUCCCCCCAAACUCACAAAAAACAAUCAGAGAUUAUCAUAUCAUUCCUGGCUAAUAACCACUGCAGCUGUAAGACUGGCAAAAACUGAGAUACAGGGCAGAAACACGUCUCUACACCCCAACUUUCCAAGACACUCUGCUCCCCGAACCUCAGGCUUCUCAGGGCAGGACUGCCUAUAGUGAGAAGUGCAUUCUCUGCAAGCAGCCUGGGGUCCCGUCCUCUGCCAGGAUCCCUGGGGGUGGCGUGGAGGCUAGACAGAGGAUUUCCCCUUGGCACAGCUGCAGCAAAGAGACAACGUGUUGUUUGGGACAAAAAAUGCUACCGUCCCUAUUCCUGGAAGAUAUGACCUUCCCGGAGAAGUUACUGUCUCUCCCAACAAAGGCAGGACAUUCUGUAGCUGAGUAGGAAAGUGGCCCCGAGUUUUAGGAAAGAGUUGGGAUCUGAAGCACUAUUCUGAGAGAAUUUCCUCGUAAGAAAUGCCUCUUUGGUUAUUUGACAGUGGAUGUGUGCCCUAGAUUUACCAGAAAUUCAAAUAUUAUAUGAAUAGGCAGACUUUUAGGGUCUACAUUUUUAGUUUUUUCUCAAGUAAUUUCAUUUCUUUUCAGUAAAGGCAUGUCUGGAGUGAAAUUUAACAUAUAUGCUUUCAUAAUGCACAAAUCAGAAGACGCUCCACUGGGAUCUAAGUUCUGGUUCAGGAAAACAAGGUCAUGGUAGUGACAACAUGGUCAGAACUGAGCCACCUUCGCUGGAAGAUGGCCAGACGAAACACUAACACAGGUGCGUGUCUGGAACCUCUGAUUUCAAGUUCUGCUCUCCUUGAGACACAUUCUCUCACUGUAAAGCCAGGGGGCAGACCCGUCUUUCUAAACAGUACUCUCUUGGAACUGUUUAUCAAAAAUAUUUUUAUAGUACAAAGACUAGAGUACAAAGGAAAACCAAAUAAAAGCCCUUGCUUAAAGCUCAAAAGAAAAAGCUGUUAACUCUGCACUGCUCCCGCCUCAAAUGAUAGCAUGCUGCUGGUCACUCGGAGGUGACGCCGCACCCUGAUUCUCUGAGGCGUUGCGUUCCAGGCACCACUGUGUCUGAGGCAUCUGAGCAACACAUCACAGCAGGAGAAGCCAGCUUCACAGGAGAAAUGGCAAGUGUUCCCCUCAAGCUCUGUCCUACAGAGUCAAUACGAAUAACAGGGCAAGUCUGCGUGGCUUGCUGCUGGAUCACAUUCCAGGCACAUGAAACUGAAGUGACCAGUCUCACACGAGGAGCUGCGGGUUUACAGGUACAUCUCUAUGUAGCUCAUAUCCGUAGGAGAACAGGCUGAACUAUGGAGUGUUCUUGAGCAGAAAGGAUGCGCAGUCACUUUUAUCAGUUAGCUCCCUGUGGUUCUGUGUGGGGCGCACUCUGGAGAUACAUGUUUCUUGAGACGUUAGCUUGAACGUGGGAAGAACACACGUGUCUCUGAUGUCCGCAAUGCCGUGAGCUCCUGGGCCUGCCUCGUGCUUCAGCUGAGGCUGACGGGAGGGGACUGGGCUGGGCAGGUAGACUCAAGAGGGGUGCUUAUGUGGUAUCUCACAGCAAGGAGGUGGUUGGUUUUUCUCAAGAAAGCACUCCGAGCUUUUUGAUUCUGACAACCACUGGCCGUCACCCAGGGGUCACCAUGCCCAGCUGGCCUCCUGAGCACCCCCUCCCCAUACCCCUCAGCAGUUGCCAAGAAGACAGGUCCACUGGCCGCGGGGACAAGACCUUCCAUGUCUCAGUGGUCACAGGAGCACUGCUCACCUUAUGCCACGCUCUACUAGGGGGGCUAGCAACAACAUGAACAGCUGCCCACCCCGCACAGCCUGCGGCUCUGCUGCAGCGCUCGGGGUCAGCCUCAGAGGAGGAACAAAAGACGAGGCUUUCUAUUAGGAAGCCUUAGAAGGAGGCCCUUUAACAGGAAGUAAAGUCAGAGACAGGAAGAUACAGAGCAGUCCACGAAGCAGCAACGUGUGCCCUGCACCCGUGGGAAGCAGUGCCGUUAAGCUUUAGUAGCUUUAUGAGUGGGGAGCACAAAAGUUAUCUAAAAACCCCAGCGUCACCAACACAGAAUAGCAUGUGAUUAUUCAGAGCCCAUUGGCAAAGCAAUCCUAACCCCUGGGCCCCACCUCUUCUCUGGAAACAGCCAGGCUUCUCGGGGCCCAUGUUCAGUGGCCAGCUUUGGAGAGGUUUUCCAUGCCGUGAGGCCACCUGGGCAAUAAAGCUGCCCUCAAAGCCUCACCCUGGGGGACUUUGUAACCCUGAGCCCCAACCUGUGCCUGGAAAGCAUUGCCAUUCUCCCGAAAUGGACACUGACAGAAGAAUACAAAACAAGAAAGGCGACCAUAAAUCAAAGGGAAGUGACGGUCCACUUAAAAAAAUCAGGUUUUGUUCUCAUCAUACAUGUCCAAAGAUGGUUCGAUUGUGGAGAAUUCACUUUCGUACACCAGGCUUCGAGGCGACAGAGAGUUCCGAUGAAAGAAGUGACCACCUGGAAAAGGAGCAAGAAAAAUGGACUUAAUAGGUCGUCAGGUCUAUACUCCCCACCUGGCUUGAAGGAAAAGAAUGUGGAUUAUCUUCAAAGCAUCACAUUUUCCCAAACAUGUCCAUUUUGGGCUCUUAUGAAAAGAAUACAGACAUCCCUCAGUGUAAGCACACUUUAAAUAUAUUAAUGUCGGUGCUUGGAUCCCCAAGAGAUUAACCACUGGAGGUCUUCCAGCAAAAGCUGCCUGGUGCUCUUAAAAAGAUUCCACUUAUACAUUUGAAGGCUUCUGUUCUGAGCUAAGCAGGCCAGUGGAGGUAGGAGAGGGUACAGGGUCAUCAGCUGGGCAGACUGACAGGUCAGAAUGCAUGAAAAAGUUUCUGUCUAUAUCAAAGUUCCUUUACAUGAUUAGCUCUAUACAUGUUAAGACCAGUAAUUUCCAGUCCUUUCUCAGACAGCCACUGUGAGCUGAUCCAUAUCUCUAAAUAAUAUGUAUACAUAUGGCUGAUUCAUAAUAUUGUACAGCAGAAACUAACACAACAUUGUAAAGCAAUUAUAUUCCAAUUUUUUUAAAAAGGUGGAAAAAAAAAAAAAGAAAAUCCAUCAAUCAAUCGGUGUGGUCUUUUUCUGGGCAGUUGAUUCGUUUGUUUGGCUGUGGCAGGUCUCGGUGGUGGCGCGUGGGGGUUUGUUGCGGCGUGCAGGUGCUCUCACUGUGCCACGCCUCUCACUGUGCCACGCAGGCUUCCUGCAUCUGCUGCACGUGACCCCACAGCUCCUGAGCUCAGCAGGUGGGGCAUGUGGGCUCUCUAGCUGUGGCGCGCAGACUUAGUUGCCCUGCAGCAUGUGGGGUCUUAGUUCCCCGAGGAGGGAUUGAACCCAUGUCCCCUGCAUUGGAAGGUGGAUUCUUAACCACUGGACCACCGGGGAAGUCCUCAUUUGUCCAUCUUCACACUAAUACAACACUGUCCUGAUUACUACAGCUCUUUGAGUCUUGAAAUAAGGUAUUAUAAUUGCUGUAACUUUGUUCUUAUUUCUUAAAUGAUAUGAUGGACAGGGAGGAGAGGAAAGAUAUUAUAUAUAGUUUUAAAUGAAAGCAUUUCAUGAUCACUUCUUCUUGUUUAACUUUCCUUAUUAAAAACUUCUGUAUUUAAAAAACUGGGAUGAAUUAAAAGAUGCGUGCCAUCUGUAUAAGCAGACCUCUUAAGACGAGUCCCAAGUAAGAGAUGGGAUAUUUGAUCUCUGAUUGCUGAGUCUCAGUGCUCAGAAGAAUCUGCACAGUCCAACGGGGCUUAAAGCUUAAAGAUUUAAAAAAGAAAACAAAAGACACCGAGAAAAGAGGAAAUUUUCUGCUCUGCAGGAAGAACUAAAGCCUCCAGAAGUGGAAAUGACCUAAGUUUUUUAUGUUAGUGUAUUGAUCAGCUGACACCAAAUCUUUGGUAAUAAACCAUGGGUCAGAAUUUACUUAGUAAUCUACCCAGCUAUUAACCAGUUUGCUUGAGAAAAAUAAAAUAUCAAGAGAGGAACACACAAGCAGCUGAAUUUUAGAGAAAAGCAUGAUUCUGGCUUUGCCAAGAAAGCAUGGUAAAUUUUUCAACACCUGGAAACACCCUGUUUACUGAUUAACUGAUUCUUAUUAUCGGCGACAUGAUGUCACUAAGUAAGCUGUUAAUGGAGGUAUAACCUGUAUACAGAUGUGCACAGUGUAUAAGUUUACAGCUGGGUGAGUUUUUACAGAGGAGAUACCCGUGAAAUCACUGGGUCAAGAACCAGAACCCUACCAGCACUCUACAAGGACCUCUACUGAUCCCAGUCACCAGGGCUUCUCCGAAGGAAACCACAAUUCAGACUUUUCAGACCAUGGUUUAGUUUUGCCUGUUUUUAAUUCUACAUGAAUAGAAACAGAGUAUAUAUUCUUUUAUGCCUGGAUUUUUUCAGACAAUAUUAUGUUGUGACAUUCAUCUGUCAUUGAAUACAGCAGUAGUUUGUUCACUUUUGUUGCUGUGUAAUACUCCAUGGUAUGACUGCCCCACAAUUUAUUUAUCUAAUCUUCUAUUUAAAAAAAAUUAAAAUAGAAGAUUUUUAUUCUUUAA